UCAGUCAGUCAGGGAGGGAGGGAACUGGAGGUCUCCUAGCUGAAGGCUGACUCUGCCUGUAAAGGACAUGACUAAUCCUGUAAAGCUUGUAUGCAGAUAGAUGCUAGUGGUGGGACAACCUUAAGUGAAUAAAGACACAGGUGUUGCACAACCGUGAAGCCUCUCUGAGCCUUAUUGGGGGCAGCAAGCAGUCCCCAGGAAGAGGGGUGUGUUGUGAACCCUUUAAAAAACAAAAAGGAUUCAGAUAAUGCAGAAGGAUGGAUAAUAAAGCAGAGGACCGCUGUUCCCCCUCAUCAUCCAGGGGAGAGGCCAAUGUAAUGCUAAAUGGCUCCUGCAGCAGCGCAGGAAGCCUCUGCAACCCUGUUGUCAUUGAACCAGAGGGAAGACGUAGAGAUAUGUUUAUGAAAGACUGUGAUUUGAAGAUGCUCCUUCACAAGGGACAGUGUUGGGAAUGUGGGAAUUUGGAGAUGUGCCCUGAAGGCAGGAACUAGAAACACCACAUAGCUGUGUGCAGCAGUUCACUGCUGAAGCUCUCCAGUUUGUUUUAUUAAAGUUUUAUUCCCUGCUCAUUCACUGGUUUGUUAUGUAAUGAACUCCAAGAUCAUUACAAUACCAUAUAGCUAGAAUUGUUCUUUAGCCUAAACCAUUUGACUGGAAUCCAUUAUUAACGCAUUGCAAUGCCUAUAUAUUUUAUUGUUGUUUCUCCCCAUAACACUGUAGUGUUUAAAUACUAUGUUUGUGAACUAUAUUAAAUUCAAAGAGCAUAUAUGCAUUUUUUUUAAAAGGUGGGGAGAAGGAGGAAGAUGAUGGAGUAUGGUGCACAAAUUUGGUCAUUUGUUAUUGUACAACUUAUCUCUAAAAUCUUGUUUAUUUUCCCUGGAUCCAUAACCACAUAAUGAAGGGACUCUAUCUAAUUGCCCGGAUCUAUAGUCCAUAAUUUUACUCAUAAGGAAACUAGAAUGUGAUUCAACGCUGGAGAUAUUAACAUUUUCCAGAAAGUGGCUGCAUAGUUGCUAUUUUCCAUUUAAUCAGUGAAACAAAAUUUAUUGAUUAUUGUUUUCAAUUGUUUAUGUGCUAUGGGUUUUCGAGUCAGGAAAAAAAGAAAACUGGAUAGCCCUGAUGCAUAAUGUUCAUGGGGUCAUUCUUA